rnacentral:tRNA from 1 species
GGGGAGAUGCCAGAGUGGUCGAUCGGGACCGCCUGCUAAGCGGUUGAGGGGUACUAUAAGCUCCUCCCAGGGUUCGAAUCCCUGUCUCCCCG